UUUUAGACUCCAGUUCCUUGAGAGCAUCCCUUCAGCUCCUGCUAGGAAAUGCUCUUAAUGCUAGGCGAUUUGCUGCUGCUUUGCUGGAGCUCAGAGUAACAGCAGCCGCGGCGGGAAGCUGUUUGAAUGCAGGUGUUAUUGGAGAAGAGAGCCUUGUACAUGAUGGUCACAGAUAUUCAAGCUGUAAGAGACCACGGGGAUCGGCCACAGAACUUCCCAGAAUGACUUCCUGUUUGAACAAGAACAGAUAUUUUAGAAAAACAUCCAAUCUUAUUUGCCAAUGACAGAGAAUCCACCACAUCCCUUGGCAGCGGCAUUCUGGGCAACCCCAGCCAGCACAUUUCACUAGGAUCCACGUGGAGUGUGACCCCAUCUCCAUGGACUAUUCUGUCUUGGGAUGAUUGGUAUCAAUCUUUUCUUCCUGACCCAAACUUGUAGCCUGCACCUCCUUCUAAAACAGAACCAACUCCAAACCCAAGUGCUGUGAUGCUGCAGUUGGCACCUGUCACUACGAACAACUAAGAUGACAUGAGCCACCAGCCUCAUUCCCCACAGUGACCUAAGCCGGGAUUGUAGAGCGUUUGAAAAAGCGUGUGGCAGUGGCCAUCGUCAGAAGACAGGAUUCUGGGCUAGAUGGACCAUUGGUCUGAUCCGGUAUGGCCAUUCUUAGGGGGGCAAAGGCAGCAGAGCUACGGUUCACCAUGGGCUAUCGGCAAAUGUAGGCGGGCUAAUGAAUCCAUCUAUCUUCUGGAUCCACUGGACCGAACAUGCACAUAUGCAGGGAAGCAGCAGACGGCGUCUACUACUCUCACCCUCGGAUUCCCUCGCAAUAGGGGUGCCUCAGACAGGCAGCUGUCUCAGCAAUUGAAGGAUGAGGAUUCCAUCCACAUUUCCAUGGGGAAAAUUACUUUUCAUUCCAGAUUUGCUCCAUGUUCCAGCAUUUGGCCUUUUUGUGCAUUCCCAAAGCAAAUGAAACGUAAGCAUGGAGUUUGCUAAUUGUUUGCAUAAUGGAAAUAUAUAUAUAUAUAGCUAACUUUGUGAAGGCUGAUGAGUUCUUGGAAUCAUCUAAUAGCAAAUCUUGAUUCCCUAAAUCUCUCUCUCUUUGCAUGUGCUAAUUGGUCUUGGCAUUAAUUAAUCUGAUUUCAUUAUAUUCUCUUUAAUUUGUCAAGAUAUAAUUUCUUUAUUGCACAAAGAAAUGCUUUAGAGAAUUGUCACAAUUGGAAUAAUUUCCACAACCCCCUCCCUCUCUUUAAAGUUACCAAGAGAAGUCAUCAAUUAAGAUAAUUUGCAUACACAUUAGGUUAAUUGUUUUAGUUUAGCCAAAUUUGUGGAAAUUUACAUAGCAAAUUGACCCUCCACAUUUUCACUUAAACAUAUAAAGCGCAAGAGAGAAUUGUGUUCGAAUUGAUAAUGAAAUGGAGUUUAUUUUGCAUGGUUCUCUUACUAAAAGAGGUCUAAUUAGACCAAGUAAUUUUUUAUUUCAUCCGUAAUUGCAAAACAAAUAAGCUCUUUGGCAGUUUUUUUCCUCUCUCUUUCCCUGUGUCACAUGGAUGGGGAGCAUUAAUAGGAAAGUCAUGUUCUCCUAAUUAAGCCCCAUUUGAUUUCAGCACAUUCUUCCAUCAGAACCUCUUUAGUUUCUUCUAGUUUUUCUUCUGCUUCAGUUGCUUAAGCUUCCUGGAACACCUAUUAAUAGACAACUCCCCCAUACUGAUCUGCCUGAAUUAAAAUAAAAAACCAAAAAGCCCUGUAACUAAGACAGCAUUCCAGCACCGACAGAAUUUGUGUGUUAGGGAAAAUGCAACCAGGAUCUCAAUUCCCCCUGUGGAAAAGAAAGAGAGAAGCUUUUAGCCAUGAAAGAGCUGGCAUAACAAAAUGUGAUCAUUAACACCCAGGCACAAAAAAUACCCAUCCCCUGAUUUUCCUAUUUUAAUUUCACAAUUAGGUUUCUGCAGCUGGUGUUCCUUGCUCAGUUGCUGUGGAAAGAGCCAGUUAGGAUCUUCUCAUGAGGGUACAGGCUGACAACCCUGCCUCCCUCCCCAUGCCCCAAGAUAGACUUUUGGGCAAGGACCAGCUUUUUCUUCUGUGUUUGUCCAGUGCCUAGCACCAGGGGGUCCUGCUCCAGGACUGGGGCUCCUAGGUGUUACAAGACUAUAACAGAUAAAUCAUAAUAACUGCUUAGCCUGCGGGGCACGGUUCAGUGGCUGGUCUUGAAUGAGCUCCCAGAGCAGGGUAAUACAGCCUCCAGUGAGCAGUUGACACCACACCAACUCUAGACAUCCUACUCAAGCCCACAUCCAGAGCCCAUUGAAAUCAAUAGGAGUCUUUCCACUAGCUGCAAUAGGCACUGGGCCCAUGCUACUAACAUCUGUUUGUAACAUCAUCCUUCCAAAUGACCUUAGGUGCCAUGAAAACAUCACAGUGCUAUCUUGGGGAGGUGGUGGGGUGCUGUUUGCCCAAUGAGUGAUGUUUAUUUUGGAUUGCGACCCAGUAACGUUUCUGUUUUGCUUUGUUAAUAAAGCAAUCCUGGAGCCUUA